rfam:Triticum aestivum genome assembly, contig: Triticum_aestivum_CS42_TGACv1_scaffold_114093_2AS
GAAAUACUCCCAUCCGUCCUAAAAUUCUUGUCUUAAAUAUGUCUAGAUACGUAUGUAUCUAAUACUAAAACGUGACUUGAUACAUCCGUAUUUAGUCAAAUUUAAGACAAGAAUUUUGGGACGGAGGGAGUACAAG